ACUAUUAGGCUAAGGUGCUUCCACGACUCUAUCUUUGUCAUAUAAUUUAUUUUGCAGCUUUUUUGUUGUUGUUGUUGUGUUAAUUUACUAUGUGGAUUGUUAUUCGCAUUUGUUGAAACCUGGGCCUUAUCGGCCCAAUUAUUUUUACGAUUGUUUGUGGUUUACCCACACAAAUGCACCGGAAAUGUAGAGCCAACCAAUUAUCUUCACUUGGUUUUCUAAUUGAUCUACUAAUUUCUAAUUUCUCAUUUCUUUUAUUUUUUAUUUUUUUUUUCUUUUUAAAAGUUUUUGAUGAAAAGUAUUUGAGAAAAAAAAUAUUUCACUCUUUUGAAGAAACUAUGUAAAUGAUGAUUGCUUAUAUAACUUAAGUGUAAUUAUAUAAUGUGUGAAUACUAAACAAACAUGAUAGCUGUUAAUUAAUUUUUAUUGAUAGUUAGAGAUAAACAUAUUUGUUUUGAUUCUUACGCUAGUUAGUUUUCAAAGAAAAACUUUUCAUCAAAUUUUAUUAGGACAAGUAAUAUUUUGAUAAAUUUUUUUUCACCUAUAUAUAAUGUAUACAUUAAAAUAUUAUAUUUUUAUACGUUAAAAACUUUAACAUUUAAGAAAAUUUAUGAAUCAAUAAUAGAAAAAUAUAAAAUUUUAUCCGGAAAACUUUCCACAAAAUGCAUAAACAAAAAACAAACAAACCCUAAACCCUAUAAUCCUAAGCAUUAUUCUAAACUAAACCCUAAAUCCAACCUAAACUAUAAUCCUAAACGCUAAACCUCUCCUACUACCUAAACCCUAAAUCCUACCUAAGCCGAAACACUACCUAAACCUAACCCUUAACCCUUUCUAAACUUAAACCCUACAUAAACCUAACCCUAAUCCCUAAACCCUUCUACUACCUAAACUCUAAACCUAUCUAACCCUAAACCCUUCCUAACCCUAAAACCCUACCUAAAACCUAAACCUAACCCUAAACCCUACCUAACUCUAAACCCUAUCUAACCCUAAACCCUACUAACCCAAAACCCUUUCUAACCCUAAACCCUAAACCCUACCUAACCCUAAACCCUUUCUAACCCUAAACACUACCAAACCCUGAACCCUACCUAACCCUAAACCCUUUCCAACCCUAAACCCUUUCUAUCCAUAAACCCUUUCUAACCCUAAACCCUACCUAACCCUAAACCAUUUCUAACCCUAAACCCUACCUAACACAAAACCCUUUCUAACCUUAAACCCUACCAAACCCUAAACCCUACCAAACCCUAAAUCCUACCAAACCCUAAACCCUACCUAACCCUAAACCCUUUCUAACCCUAAACCCUACCUAACCCUAAACCCUUUGUAACCCUAAACCCUACCUAACCCUAAACCCUACUAACCCUAAACCCUACCUAACCCUCAAUCCUAUCUAACCCUAAACCCUACCUAACCCUAAACCCUACCUAACACUAAACCCUUUCUAACCCUAAACCCUACCUAACCCUAAACCCUACUAACCCUAAACCCUACCUAACCCUAAAUCCUUUCUAACCCUAAACCCUACUAACCCUAAACCC
rnacentral:lncRNA from 1 species